rnacentral:snoRNA from 1 species
CUAAAUGAUGAACCACAUUGAGUUCGCUGCGUUCUUCCCGAGUGUCACGCUGAAGAGUUAACUCAUUUUUAUUUCACCUUGGAGAACUGAUGG